GAAAAGAAAAGUUAGUAGUCAUAUGAAAGAGUCAGGUCGAUUGUGUACAAGCAAGAGUGGUAAACAAUUAGUGUAAACACAGCUUAAGCAGUGAAGGAUCAGCAAAGUCAGACAGUAUAGCUAACCCGGGAGUUUUACUUCAGGGGUAUCUGUGUCUCUUAGUAGAGACCGAUGGUAGGCUUUCUUCUUGUUUCCCUGUAUGUUUAUUGUUGUUGUUUUAACAUUCGAGGACGAAUGUUUUUAAAGGAG
rnacentral:lncRNA from 1 species